CUUUUUAGUCCUGGAUUCUCUGCCAAAUACUGCACAUACAGUAUGAUGGACGAUGUCAACAAAAAAGUUGUCCACUUCCAGUUGGUGCAGGUUACUGAAGCAACUAGCUCUGUAGCCAACCAGUAGCCUUCAAAAGGUGUGUAGACUUUAUUUUGGACGUGAUCACCACAGACAGGCCCCCCUCAAUCAGAUUACCCUCGUAUACAACACGAGUUCGACAUCUGGCAUGUUGUAAAGGGGUUCUUCAAAAAAAUUGCUGUCACUUACAAAACAAAAAGAGAAUCAAGACCUCCAGCCUUGGAUAAAAAGUAUAUGCAACCAUUAGUGGUAUGCAUGUGCGUCCUGUGGCGGUAACCCCAAUAUGGACGGCAAAAAGAAUGUGAUCACAAUGACCUAAGUCCUGACCAACAACGACGAAAACAUUGGCUGAAAAGGGAAUCUCCUUCAUUUCGCACUCUGUCAACACUAGUAUUAAAUCCAAGACUCCUGAAGGACCUGAGACAAAUGGCCUCAUUCAAGCAUA